UACAGAGGUCUCAAGCGUUGUUCGGAUUCAUUGGGCGUAAAGGGUGCGUAGGUGGCGCCGUAAGUCGGGUGUGAAAUUUCGGAGCUUAACUCCGAAACUGCAUUCGAUACUGCGGUGCUUGAGGACUGGAGAGGAGACUGGAAUUCAUGGUGUAGCAGUGAAAUGCGUAGAGAUCAUGAGGAAGACCAGUGGCGAAGGCGGGUCUCUGGGCAGUAACCGACGCUGAGGAGCGAAAGCGUGGGGAGCGAACAGG
rnacentral:rRNA from 1 species